rnacentral:rRNA from 1 species
GAAUUUUAUAUAAAUUAUUAAUAAAAUAAAUUAGUAAUUUAUAUUUUAUUGGGAGGAUAAUUAAAUUUAAAUAACUUUAAUAUAAAGAAACUCUGAUUAAUGGAAAGAAAAAGAUGAUUAAUAAAAAAUUAUUAGAGAUUAAAUUACCUUAGGGAUAACAGCAUUAUAUUUUUUUUUAGAUCAUAUAUAAAAAAAUGUUUAU